GGUUAAGCGACUAAGCGUACACGGUGGAUGCCCUGGCAGUCAGAGGCGAUGAAGGGCGUGCUAAUCUGCGAUAAGCGCCGGUAAGGUGAUAUGAACCGUUAUAACCGGCGAUACCCGAAUGGGGAAACCCAGUGUGAUUCGUCACACUAUCAUUAACUGAAUCCAUAGGUUAAUGAGGCGAACCGGGGGAACUGAAACAUCUAAGUACCCCGAGGAAAAGAAAUCAACCGAGAUUCCCCCAGUAGCGGCGAGCGAACGGGGAGGAGCCCAGAGCCUGAAUCAGCAUGUGUGUUAGUGGAAGCGUCUGGAAAGGCGCGCGAUACAGGGUGACAGCCCCGUACACAAAAGCGCAUAUGCUGUGAGCUCGAUGAGUAGGGCGGGACACGUGGUAUCCUGUCUGAAUAUGGGGGGACCA
rnacentral:rRNA from 1 species